rnacentral:rRNA from 1 species
UACGUAGGGUGCGAGCGUUAAUCGGAAUUACUGGGCGUAAAGAGCGCGCAGGCGGUCGUACAAGUCGCGUGUGAAAGCCCCCGGCUCAACUGGGGAGGGUCACGCGAUACUGUUCGACUCGAAGGCAGGAGAGGGUAGUGGAGUUCCCGGUGUAGUGGUGAAAUGCGUAGAUAUCGGGAGGAACACCAGUGGCGAAGGCGACUACCUGGCCUGUUCUUGACGCUGAGGCGCGAAAGCUAGGGUAGCAAACGGG